AGUCAUCUGUAGUGUUCGUAUGUUUGCUUUUUAUUUGGGCCUAACACUCUUUGAUCAGGGAGCUCAAUGGGUUUUCUUGCAGCGCACACGCCUCUAUAGGAGGACUUGCAACACAAGAAACAGGGCACCCACCUGUUUAGAACAGGCCGAAUGAUCAAGCACUUUACAACUACGGCACAGACGGACUCUAU
rnacentral:other from 1 species